CCCGACUCAGAGGCAUUGCAGGUGUGGCUGCUGUGUCAUACGUGCACCAGCAGGUGGCAGAGAGGAGAGAGGCUAUGUCUAUACUCAGUGUUCUGACCUAUGAACAUCUGAGUGACUCGUAGCCUAACAUA